GGGGGGGAGAGAGAGAGCGCUAAUAUAAACCACAAGAGAGAGAGAGAGAGGAGGAGGAGGAGGAGGAGGAAGGGGGAGAGAGGUCAGUUUUGCUUAUGUGAUUGAACUAUACUGGCUAGUAGCGGUUGAGGUCUCUGCAUCUUCUUUUAAAGCCUCUGCAAUUAGAUGGGAAAGAGUAAGACAAUUGAAUUGUCUGGGUUUCCCUACGUCUUGCCUGGGGAAAUAGUUAAGGAAUUCGUAGAGCAAUACACAGGCAGAGGAACAGUAGAUUCUUUAGAGGUUAAGGAGCCUGAAAAUAACUGGUCAGGAGCAUAUGCCAUAGUUCAAUUCGCCACUACCAAAAGUGCUGAUAAGAUUAUCAACUUGGCUAAGCAAAACUUGUGUUAUAGAAGAUCCUAUUUGAAGGCUGUCGCAAAGAACUUUUAUUUAGUACCGAAGCCAAAGAAAUAUGAACAUGUCAUGGAAGGUGUAACUAUAUAUUGUGGAUGUCAGAUCUCAAAGGAGAAGUUUUCAGUGCUCUGGGAAAGGGAAGAUAUCUCCGUAAAAUUUGAUUUUGGACUAAGAAAACUGUAUUUCUUCAUGUCCUACUUUGAUCUUGAGUACAAGCUUGAGCUAUUUUAUGAGAACAUCUUGCAGAUUGAGCUAUAUCAACCACCUGGUCAAACAGCAAAGUUUCUGCUCAUUCAGUUGCUUGGUGCUCCCCGCAUCUACAAGACAUGUAAACAAUCUGUUUACAUCUAUCAUAAGGAAGCUCCUAAAGACCAAUGGGUCAGGGCCACGGAUUUCACUUUAUUGAGCUGCAUUGGCCAAUCUACAGCUUUCUGUUUGGAGCUUUCAGAUGGUAUUCGACUUUUGAACUUGAGUCAAUACUUCCCUUCUUACAGAGAAAAUGAAGGGCCGUUCAUUUUGGGGGAGGGGUUUCCUUACUCGUGCAAUUUGGAUCUGGUACCCAUUGUUGGUCCACCUGAUGAUAUUGACUUGCCAUAUAAAGUACUAUUUAAGAUCUGCAUGCUGGUUCAAGAAGGAUAUCUCUCAGGACCCACACUUGAUAUCGACUUCUUUAAGUUGGUUGAGUCCCGGGAUAUUGACGUCAAAUGUGUUGAACAUGCCCUAGACACACUAUAUCAUUUAAAGGAGUGCUGCUAUGAACCUUUGACGUGGCUCAGGGAGGAAUACAGUAAAUACCACAACUUAAGAAAACUUCCCAGAACACCUACCAUUAAAUUAGGUGAUGGAUUGGUGUAUGUACACAGGGUUCAAAUAACCCCUUCCAAAGUGUAUUUUUGUGGUCCAGAGGUUAAUAUGUCUAAUCGGGUAUUACGCCAUUAUCAUGAAGAUAUUGAGAAUUUCCUUAGGGUUUCUUUCGUGGAUGAGGAAUUGGGGAAGAUGUUUUCAACCGAGUUAUCCACACGGACACCCUUUUCAGGUGAGGAAAAAAGAACUCAAAUUUAUGGGCGGAUAUUAUUGGUUCUCAGGGACGGCAUUGUUAUUGGAAAUAAGAAAUUUGAUUUUCUUGCCUUCUCAGCAAGUCAAUUGCGCGAUAAUUCUGCAUGGAUGUUUGCUUCAAGAAAUGGGCGUUCUGCUGCUGACAUAAGAAAUUGGAUGGGCGACUUUCAUCGGAUCAGAAACGUAGCAAAAUAUGCCGCAAGACUUGGUCAAUCUUUCAGUUGCUCCACGGAAACUUUGAGUGUUGGUAGGCAUGAAAUUAAAGUUAUUCCUGAUGUAGAGAUUUUACGAGAUGGAAUCAAAUAUGUUUUCUCUGACGGAAUCGGAAAAAUGUCUGCCGAAUUUGCUCGCAGUGUGGCCAAGAAAUGUGGGCUUAAAAGGUCAACUCCUUCUGCCUUCCAAAUCCGAUAUGGCGGUUACAAAGGAGUUGUGGCUGUGGAUCCCACAUCACGAACAAAGAUGUCCUUAAGACCAAGUAUGUGCAAAUACGAAUCCAACAACACGAAAUUGGAUGUUUUGGAUUGGAGCAAAUAUCACCCUUGUUUCUUGAAUCGCCAAAUGAUCACUCUUUUAUCUACCCUUGAGGUUAAUGAUGAUAUCUUUGAAAAGAAGCAAAGCGAAGCGGUAGAACAACUAGGUACCAUAUUAACAGAUCCGUUAAGGGCUCAGGAUGCCUUGGAACUGAUGUCUCCAGGUGAGAAUGCAAACAUUCUUAAGGAAAUGCUUCUGUGUGGCUACAAGCCUGAUGCUGAACCUUUCCUCUCGAUGAUGCUGCAAACCUUUAGGGCAGCAAAGUUGUUCGAAAUGCGAACUAGAACAAGGAUAUUUGUUCCAAGAGGAAGGUAUAUGAUGGGAUGUCUCGAUGAAACCAGAACAUUGGAAUAUGGAGAGGUAUUUGUACAAAUUUCUGAGGCUGGAAACAAGUUAUUUCGUGAUACUAAUUCCCUUCUUAUGCAUAGGAGAAGUGACUCGAAUCAGGGUCAUCAUAUUGUUAAGGGUACGGUAUUUGUUGCCAAAAACCCUUGCUUGCACCCUGGUGACGUUCGGGUCCUAACAGCUGUAGAUGUUCCAGCGUUGCACCACAUGGUGGAUUGUGUGGUUUUCCCACAAAAAGGAAUGAGACCUCAUCCGAAUGAAUGCUCAGGAAGUGAUUUGGAUGGAGACAUGUAUACUGUUUGUUGGGACCCUGAUCUUAUUCCACCGCGGCAAAUCGAUGCCAUGGAUUAUAGCCCUGCACCAACUAAGGAGGUGGAUCACGAUGUCACGAUUGAGGAAGUUGAGGAGUAUUUCACGAACUAUAUAGUCAACGAUAGCCUGGGUAUUAUAGACAGUGCUCACACGGUUUUUGCAGACAAUGAACCUAAAAAAGCCAUGAGCGCUCCUUGUUUGAAGCUCGCAGAGCUACACUCAAUCGCGGUUGACUUCCCUAAGACCGGCGUGCCAGCAGAGAUACCUCGUGAAUUACGAGUCCAAACAUAUCCAGAUUUCAUGGAAAAGCCUGACAAACCUACUUACAAAUCAAAACGCGUGCUCGGAAAGCUUUUCCGAGCCGUGAAAAACAUUGCCCCAGAAACGAGCUCCACCAAGUCCUUCACAAAGGAAGUGGCUGAGAGUUCGUAUGAUCCCGAUUUGGAAGUGGAAGGUUUCAGGGAUUAUCUCGACGACGCUUUUGAUUACAAGACCGAGUAUGAUUACAAGCUGGGAAACCUGAUGGAUUACUAUGAGAUCAAUACGGAAGCGGAACUUCUAAGCAGCAGUAUAAUGAGAAUGACAUCAUCUUCCGAGCGGAACAAGGACGCGGAAGACGUCGGAUUGGCCGUGAAGGCGUUGAGGAUGGAAGCGAGGACGUGGUUCGACGCGGAUGCUGAAGGUGAAGAUGUUUAUGCAAAAGCGUCAGCUUGGUACCAUGUUACCUAUCACCAUAGCUACUGGGGUCAAUAUAACGUGGGAUUGGACCGUGACCACUUCAUUAGCUUCCCGUGGUGUGUCUACGAUAAGCUGAUCCACAUCAAGAAAGAUAGAGCUAGCAUUACAAGGGCUCCCCGUCUGUCAUCGCUUGAACGGCAAUUCAGUCAGGAGUUGAACUUGGGGUAGAAAAUUUUCUUUUCUUAUUUUUUAUUUAUUUAUCUAAGAUAGAAGAAUUCCAGUGUGGUUGCCAAAGUGUUCGAUAUUGUAUUGUUUAAGCGUGUCUAUUGUGAACUUUGCUGCUUAUUUCUGUGUACGUAUAUGCCUGAACUGUUUGAUGUACAUACAGUUUGGUGGUGUGAUUGGAACUUGGUAUUCGAGAAUGCUGGAAUUUACUGAUGAAAUCCUGUAACUAGAAGUAUGUUACUGGAAAGUUAUUUGGCUUCUUGUGUUUUGCUA